CAAACCCACCCGCCGCUCAUUGACGAAAUUAGGGCAUCGCUCUUCCGCGUCUAUAAAUACCGUUGUUUCACCGAAGAGCCGCACUCGCCUUGCAGAUCAGCGGCGGAAUUGGCGAAAGCGUCGUAUGCGAUGCAACUCCACCGCCCUCCGCUCCUUGAAUUCACUUGUUAUCUUUCGUCAAUCACGAAAAGAUUGUGUUUUUGUUGAUUUUUCUUAGAUCUUUAAUCGAGUCCUCGUGGUUUUAUAUUCUCUUUUCGAAUUUUUUUCUCUUGUUUUGUUGGUUUGUUCGUUCACCAAUUCGGUUUAAUAUGGUCUCCUCUGAUGAUCAGAAUUGAAAACUUUCGUUCUUCCGAGGGUAAAUACGCUGCGGAAAAUUCAUGGAGACCUGAACUGAGGAGACCAAUCUUGUUCUGGAAAAUGAGUCGUAUGUCAAAUGAGAGCGACGAGAGAUUGAUACCAAGAGACCAGAUUGACUCACCAUCAAUUGAACAAGGCUGCAGCACGGGUUCGUAAAGGGAGGAAAUCAUAUGUUGAAGAAGGGUCCCUGGAUGUCUGCAGAGAAUGCAGUUUUGGUGGGUUAUGUUAAGAAAUAUGGCGAGGGAAACUGGAAUUCUGUUCAGAAACACAUGGGACUCGGUCGAUGCAGCAAGAGCUGUCGCCUACGACGGGCUAAUUCACCAGACGAGGAGCAAGUGAUCAUUGAACUCCAUGCUAAGAUGGGAAACGAAUGGGCUCGGAUGGCUGCACAUGUAGGUCUUUGUUUUCUUUUUCUUGAUAUGACAUGGUUCUUGUAUGUUGCAUCAUAUUAAGCUAAGUAUGUAUUCCCUUCACUUGCUUAUGCUUUCUACCAAGGAAGAUUUUUUCUUCAAA